CAGCCGCCGCGGUAAUACCGGCGGCCCGAGUGGCGGUCACUAUUAUUGGGCUUAAAGCGUCCGUAGCCGGGGUGGGAAGGCCUCCGGGAAAUCUGGCCGCUUAACGGUCAGAAUGCCGGAGGAUACUCCCAGCCUAGGGAGCGGGAGAGGCCGAGGGUAUUCCCGGAGGAGGGGGGAAAUCCUAUAAUCCCGGGAGGACCACCUGUGGCGAAGGCGCUCGGCUGGAACGCGUCCGACGGGGAGGGACGAAGGCCAGGGGAGCAAACCGGAUUAGAUACCCGGGUAGUCCUGGCUGUAAACGAUGCGGACUUUGUGUCGGACAAGCUAUGAGCUUGUCCGGUGCCGGAGGGAAACCGUUAAGUCCGCCGCCUGGGGAGUACGGCCGCAAGGCUGAAACUUAAAGGAAUUGGCGGG
rnacentral:rRNA from 1 species